GGAGAGAGAGGAAAGAGAAGAGAGAAAGAGAGAGUAGUAAAUAUAAAGUGUAAAUAAUGAAUUUAGGUGAAUUUAGGUCAGAUGGUGGACUGGAGGAGACUGGGAGAGGCAGGCUGGGAGAUGAUGGACUGUGAGAGACUGGGAGAGGCAGGCUGGGAGAUGAUGGACUGGGAGAGACUGGGAGAGGCAGGCUGGGAGAUGAUGGACUGGAAGAGACUGGGAGAGGCAGGCUGGAAGAGACUGGGAGAGGCAGGCUAGGAGAUGAUGGACUGGGAGAGACUGGGAGAGGCAGGCUGGGAGAUGAUGGACUGGAAGAGACUGGGAGAGGCAGGCUGGGAGAUGAUGGACUGGAAGAGACUGGGAGAGGCAUGCUGGGAGAUGAUGGACUGGAAGAGACUGGGAGAGGCAGGCUGGGAGAUGAUGGACUGGAAGAGACUGGGAGAGGCAGGCUGGGAGAUGAUGGACUGGAAGAGACUGGGAGAGGCAGGCUGGAAGAGACUGGGAGAGGCAGGCUGGAAGAGACUGGGAGAGGCAGGCUGGAAGAGACUGGGAGAGGCAGGCUGGGAGAUGGUGG
ensembl:lncRNA